rnacentral:rRNA from 1 species
AACGAACGCUGGCGGCAUGCCUGACACAUGCAAGUCGAACGAGACCUUCGGGUCUAGUGGCGCACGGGUGCGUAACGCGUGGGAAUCUGCCCUUGGGUUCGGAAUAACAGUUGGAAACGACUGCUAAUACCGGAUGAUGACGUAAGUCCAAAGAUUUAUCGCCCAAGGAUGAGCCCGCGUAGGAUUAGCUAGUUGGUGAGGUAAAGGCUCACCAAGGCGACGAUCCUUAGCUGGUCUGAGAGGAUGAUCAGCCACACUGGGACUGAGACACGGCCCAGACGAGGAGGGGAGGCAGGAGAGAGAAAUAUUGGCCGGGGGGGGAACGCCUGGACGAGCAAUGGCGAGGGAGGGAAGAAGGCCUUAGGGUUGAAACGCUUUUUUCCGGGGGAGGAAAGUGAGAGCACGGGAAUAAAGGGCCCCGGCGCCCUCCGCCCCAGCAGCCGGGGAAAGGAGAAAACCCCCCGUGAGACC